UACAGAGGUCCCAAGCGUUGUUCGGAUUCACUGGGCGUAAAGGGUGCGUAGGUGGUGAGGUAAGUCGGAUGUGAAAGCUCGGAGCUCAACUCCGAAAUGGCAUUGGAAACUACCUUGCUCGAGGGUUGGAGGGGGGACUGGAAUACUUGGUGUAGCAGUGAAAUGCGUAGAUAUCCGGAGGAACACCGGUGGCGAAGGCGGCUUCCUGGACCGACACUGACGCUGAGGCGCGAAAGCUAGGGGAGCAAACGGG
rnacentral:rRNA from 1 species